UUGACCUCAGCUCAGUCGUGAAUACCCGCUGAA
rnacentral:rRNA from 1 species